rnacentral:lncRNA from 1 species
AUGCUUCGCUAACUAUACAAAGUAUCUUUAGCUGUUGGAAUGAAAAAACCUGGUCUUAUCAAAAUAUUGAAUUAGUCACAUUCUAAAUUUUCCUCUUAAGAAGUGAACUUUAAACCUAACUCAACUUUACAAAACUAGUUUGUAAUGUGAGAUUUGCACUCGUUCAUAUACUAUACAAAGUAUCUUUAGCUGUUAGAAUGAAAAAAAAAAACCUGGUCUUAUCAAAAUAUUGAAUUAGUCACAUUCUACAUUUUACUCUUAAGAAGUGAAUUUUAGACUUAACUCAAUCUUACAAAGCUAGUCUGUAAGGUGAAGUUUGCACUUGGUCAUAUACUAUGAAUUGACUUUAUCUCUAGUCAAUGUGAAAUUUCUAAUACAUCUUAGGUCAAAACCAGUCAAGUUGUGUAUGUGACUAUAUAUUUAUGGGUGAUCCAAUAGUGGUUCGUUAGCGAGUGACACAAUAGGCCCAACAAACUUUUGGUAGGAUAGGUUCUAAAUGAUUUUGCUACCAUCUUAAGAAGUUAAUUUUAAGCUUAACUAAACCUUACAAAACUAGCUUGUAAGAUGAGAUUUGCAUCCAUCCAUAUAGUAUGAAAGCUUGUAAGAUGAGAUUUGCAUCCAUCCAUAUAGUAUGAAUUGACUUUAUAUUUAGUCGCUAUAGGAUCUCCAAUAUUUUCUCCUAAUUACCAGUUCAAUGUUUCAUUAUAAUAGGAAUGCUAAAUUACCUAACUUGGUACAUAACAUCUAGAAUGACAGAAAAACUGAAAUUUUAAAGUUUUAUAGAAGCCUUACAAUAUUCCAUCCUUACUAAUUGUUGGAGAACAAUAUUCUUCAUGUAUCAAUAUGCAGAAUACAAAAUAAGUCCCCAAAGGUUACUUUACGGUAGUUAGAGUUUCAGAGUUUCAACUACUACUUUUUGUUCUGCGCAAAAGGAUAAGAUUGGGAACACUCCUAUCAGUAAAAGAAGUUGAAAUUGUU